rnacentral:rRNA from 1 species
AGAGUUUGAUCAUGGCUCAGGACGAACGCUGGCGGCGUGCCUAAUACAUGCAAGUCGAACGAAGCUUUCCUUCACCGAAUGCUUACAUUCACCGAAAGAAGCUUAGUGGCGAACGGGUGAGUAACACGUAGGCAACCUGCCCAAAAGAGGGGGAUAACACUUGGAAACAGGUGCUAAUACCGCAUAACCAUGAACACCGCAUGAUGUUCAUGUAAAAGACGGCUUUUGCUGUCACUUUUGGAUGGGCCUGCGGCGUAUUAACUUGUUGGUGGGGUAACGGCCUACCAAGGUGAUGAUACGUAGCCGAACUGAGAGGUUGAUCGGCCACAUUGGGACUGAGACACGGCCCAAACUCCUACGGGAGGCAGCAGUAGGGAAUCUUCCACAAUGGACGAAAGUCUGAUGGAGCAACGCCGCGUGAAUGAAGAAGGCCUUCGGGUCGUAAAAUUCUGUUGUCUGAGGAGAACGUGCGUGAGAGUAACUGUUCACGUAUUGACGGUAUCUGACCAGAAAGCCACGGCUAACUACGUGCCAGCAGCCGCGGUAAUACGUAGGUGGCGAGCGUUGUCCGGAUUUAUUGGGCGUAAAGGGAACGCAGGCGGUCUUUUAAGUCUGAUGUGAAAGCCUUCGGCUUAACCGAAGUAGUGCAUUGGAAACUGGAAGACUUGAGUGCAGAAGAGGAGAGUGGAACUCCAUGUGUAGCGGUGAAACGCGUAGAUAUAUGGAAGAACACCAGUGGCGAAAGCGGCUCUCUGGUCUGUAACUGACGCUGAGGUUCGAAAGCGUGGGUAGCAAACAGGAUUAGAUACCCUGGUAGUCCACGCUGUAAACGAUGAUUACUAGGUGUGGGGGGACUGACCCCUUCCGUGCCGCAGUUAACACAAUAAGUAAUCCACCUGGGGAGUACGGCCGCAAGGUUGAAACUCAAAGGAAUUGACGGGGGCCCGCACAAGCAGUGGAGUAUGUGGUUUAAUUCGAAGCAACGCGAAGAACCUUACCAGGUCUUGACAUCGAGUGCAUAACUAAGAGAUUAGUGAAAUCCCUUCGGGGACACUUAGACAGGUGGUGCAUGGUUGUCGUCAGCUCGUGUCGUGAGAUGUUGGGUUAAGUCCCGCAACGAGCGCAACCCUUACCUUUAGUUGCUACGCAAGAGCACUCUAAAGGGACUGCCGUUGACAAAACGGAGGAAGGUGGGGAUGACGUCAAAUCAUCAUGCCCCUUAUGACCUGGGCUACACACGUACUACAAUGGCAAUCAACAAAGAGAAGCAAGACAGUGAUGUGGAGCAAAUCUCAAAAAAUUGUCCCAGUUCAGAUUGUAGGCUGCAACUCGCCUACAUGAAGUCGGAAUUGCUAGUAAUCGCGGAUCAGAAUGCCGCGGUGAAUACGUUCCCGGGCCUUGUACACACCGCCCGUCACACCAUGGGAGUCGGUAACACCCGAAGUCGGUAGUCUAACAGCAAUGAGGACGCCGCCGAAGGUGGGAUUGAUGACUGGGGUGAAGUCGUAACAAGGUA